rnacentral:rRNA from 1 species
AGGGCGGGACACGUGUUAUCCUGUCUGAAUAUGGGGGGACCAUCCUCCAAGGCUAAAUACUCCUGACUGACCGAUAGUGAACCAGUACCGUGAGGGAAAGGCGAAAAGAACCCCUGUGAGGGGAGUGAAAUAGAACCUGAAACCGUGUACGUACAAGCAGUAGGAGCACCUUCGUGGUGUGACUGCGUACCUUUUGUAUAAUGGGUCAGCGACUUAUAUUCAGUGGCAAGGUUAACCAUCUAGGGGAGCCGUAGGGAAACCGAGUCUUAACUGGGCGCCAUAGUCUCUGGAUAUAGACCCGAAACCGAGUGAUCUAGCCAUGGGCAGGUUGAAGGUUGAGUAACAUCAACUGGAGGACCGAACCGACUAAUGUUGAAAAAUUAGCGGAUGACUUGUGGCUAGGGGUGAAAGGCCAAUCAAACUCGGAGAUAGCUGGUUCUCCCCGAAAGCUAUUUAGGUAGCGCCUCGGACGAAUACUACUGGGGGUAGAGCACUGUUAAGGCUAGGGGGUCAUCCCGACUUACCAACCCUUUGCAAACUCCGAAUACCAGUAAGUACUAUCCGGGAGACACACGGCGGGUGCUAACGUCCGUCGUGGAGAGGGAAACAACCCAGACCGCCAGCUAAGGUCCCAAAUUACAGCUAAGUGGGAAACGAUGUGGGAAGGCUUAGACAGCUAGGAUGUUGGCUUAGAAGCAGCCAUCAUUUAAAGAAAGCGUAAUAGCUCACUAGUCGAGUCGGCCUGCGCGGAAGAUGUAACGGGGCUAAGUUGUAAACCGAAGCUGCGGCAAUGUUCUUUGAACAUUGGGUAGGGGAGCGUUCUGUAAGCCGUUGAAGGUGUGUUGUAAAGCAUGCUGGAGGUAUCAGAAGUGCGAAUGCUGACAUGAGUAACGACAAGGGGGGUGAAAAACCUCCCCGCCGGAAGACCAAGGGUUCCUGUCCAACGUUAAUCGGGGCAGGGUAAGUCGACCCCUAAGGCGAGGCCGAAAGGCGUAGUCGAUGGGAAACGGGUUAAUAUUCCCGUACUUCUUACAAUUGCGAUGGGGGGACGGAG